GACGGGGGGGGCAAGUGUUCUUCGGAAUUACUGGGCGUAAAGCGUGCGCAGGCGGUUUUGUAAGUCUGUCGUGAAAUCCCCGGGCUUAACCUGGGAAUGGCGAUGGAGACUGCAAGGCUAGAGUUUGGCAGAGGGGGGUAGAAUUCCACGUGUAGCAGUGAAAUGCGUAGAGAUGUGGAGGAACACCGAUGGCGAAGGCAGCCCCCUGGGUCAAAACUGACGCUCAUGCACGAAAGCGUGGGGAGCAAACAGG
rnacentral:rRNA from 1 species